rnacentral:misc_RNA from 1 species
UGUAUUGUGCAACCUCGGUGGCUUUCGCUUUCUCCCCCCUCCCUCCGUUCUUCACUUGGUCUGCUCUCUAACCUCUCCGCUCCUCCUCUUCCUCGGCAUUCUUUCGGGGCGGGGUGCAGGCAGACAGACAUACACGCACGCACACACACGUGCACAAGGGAAAGAUCAUCUUCACCCCUUCUCUCAUUGUACAUAUAUAUAUAUAACAAUAACUGUUACACUCACCAGCAGAUACUAGACGAGGUCUUGUAGAGUGGGCCUGUGCUGGACACCGUGAGGCUUUUCAUCGCUCUCGCACCCCCCCCCGCUCCGACCAUAAGACUACCCCCUUCCCCUACCCCUACCGUCUCCUCUUGUGUUGCUGUUGGGGCUCCGCGGUCUCUCUAGGUGUUUUUUGUGUGCAUGCGUGCGUUAGUUGUUUUAAUAUCGAGCACGUCAGGAAAGACGCUUGAGCUUUGUGUUCCCUGUGUGUGGGUGUGGGUGGUCCGUGAGUGGGUAUCCAGCCGGCCUCGGCCCCCCCCCCACCCACCCUCCCUCCUUCUCCACUUUUCUGUUCGGCUCUCCUUCUUUAUCGAUCUCGCUGCGUCUUUUUGGGUGAGCGUGUGCGCCGUCUGCAGGUGUCCUGCCUCCUGCCUCCUGACUCCUGCCUCCGACCCGCGCCACCCCCACACCAAAUCUCUUUCAGUGUCUUGGCUGUGAGGGUCCUUGUAUUUGGUUCUCCGCUCCCCAUAAUUUUUUUAUGUUGGUGUCUGUAUGCUGCCCCUCCCCCCAUCUCAUCCCAUCCCAUCCCACCUGGCCGCAUCACCCGAUCCUUCUCGCCUUCUUUUCUCUUACUACUUUCCGAUUCACUGACGUGCUGAGUUGCCUCUUCUCCUUUGUUGUCUCCACCCCCUCACCCCUCACACUCACAUACACGCACACGCACGCGGACGCACUGUGGUUGGUACUGUGCAACUGAGGACGCCCACCAACACACGAGCGUGCACAGGCAAAACGUAGCCCUGUGUCGCUGCCGCUCUUGGCGACUCGCUCCGGUACCUCUCCAUCUAUCGAUACCGGGCCUUGUGUGGGCAAGUGGCGCCGCAGUUGUUCGCCGUUUUUUGGUUGUUGCUCGCAUUGCUUGGUGGACGCUCGGAUCUCUGCCGGUGCCGUUCGUGAUUGCCGCCCCCAUCCCCUCUCUCCCGCGCGUGUGCGCAUCCUUUACCUCUCUCUCUGACGCGCGAGGCUGUCGCGCUGGCUGUUAGCCUUUUCGUCUGCUUUCCUUUGGAAACAUAUUGAGAUUUCUUCCCUGAUCAUGCAGAAUAUCACGGCAUCUUCGCCGUCUCCGUACGCCGGCGGAGGCCACUGUGGGGAUCACUCGAACCGCGUCGGGGACGCUGCGACGGCCGCCUCGGUGUUUCGAGACUUCACAUGGUAUAGCGCGACGCUGCUCUCGCACCUAUUCGUGCUGGAGCACGCGCAGCUGGAGCGGACCGCGGCAGCCGAAGAGAACCGCCGGCGUGCUGCAGCCGCGCAUAGUCCUCAGCUGCUAAUGAGCGCCGCCUUUGAGUCGCUGAACGCGUCCGUUGUUGUGGCGUCUGCGUCCGCCGCCGCAGGAUCAGCUGGAGCGACUUCAAGGGAGAUGGGUGACGGUGGCUCCAUCGGUCGCCAGCUGGAUCUCGAAAGUAACAAAGCCGGCGGUGACGAUGACAACAGCCAGAAUAGUGGCGCCGCCGCUCUCUCGAUGCCGCCGCUGCCACCGCCUGCAAGCGAUGAGUCACAGAAACUGCCGCAUCUUGUCACGCAGCAUCGGCCGCACGUCUUGAUUGGGUUUGCCGCGGUGGGUGAUGCCACUGCAGUGGGUGCGGGGAAUCCGAUGAUAGCUGACGCUGCAACGCGAUGGGUGCCUCCGCAGGCUACCAGGGUUGCAGGGUCGUCAGCUGCCUCCCCUGCUGCUGCUGCGGCGGCGGCGACGGCUACAACAACCACGGCCAAAACGAGUGCACCGGACAGCGCCGUCACGUCGCUGCUGGCUGUCUUUGAUGCGUACUACUUCCCUUCGGAGCUCUUUGACGCAGCUGGCCCGGCUGCGUCCGCCAUGGCCGGGCAGCAAGGUGAGAAGGCAGACAACCUUUUGCUCCCGGAUGCUGGCGCCAGUGCCAUGCAUGUAGCAACAGAUGGCGCGGAGCAGGUGCAUGGAACGGGCACUAGCUCCGCCGGAGCCGCCGAUUCGGGUGCAGGCAGCGGCACCGCCGCACCUCGAGUAGCGGCAGAAGCGCUGCGCGAGGCCUUCCAUGAUCUCCUGGUGCUGGGUCAACGCUGCGCCGUGUUUGCCCUCACGUACCGCGGCAUUGUCGGCUGCGGCAAUGAUGCAGCGGCAAGUCGCGCUUGGCUUGGCAGUGCAGACGUAGAGGGUGAGGACGACGCUGGCCACCACUACUCUCCUAACACUGAUGGCGAGCAUCUGUCCACUACCGCAUCCACCGCUAAGAUGCAUGAUGCGGCGGGUGCGGGCUUCUCGUCCGAGGAUGACGCCAAAGCGGACGAGGCCGUGCAGCAGGCAGCUUCCGCGUCGCUGCAGUUUCUCCUCCAACUCGCGUGCAGUUGUCCGUGUGCCCCUCUUGCGUACGCAGCCCAGCUUUGCAUUGCCUAUGCGCUUGCUGCGCGGCCGCCGCCGUGCUGCGCGACCGGCUGGAUCGCACGGCAGCAGCUGAUGCGCUACUUGCCAACGCUGCAGCCGCAGUCCCGCGCCGUGCCCGCGACGGACGCAAGCGCGAGCAGCACCGCCGUUGGUGGGCCGCCGCCACACUGCGGCGUCGGCGGUGGCGGUGGCUCGAUAGCGACAACGAGUAGCAGAAGCGGCACCAAGAGCAAACACAUUCCCACCACACAGCACGUGCGACCGGAAGAUGCGAUGCUGUGGUUCGACUCCACUGGCGCGGUGCACUUGAUGACUGCUGAGCGCUGGUGGGACGCUCAACAGCAGCACGCCGCCACGUGCCUCGCGUACUGCGGCCCGCUGCCGGCGACCACCGCCCUCCCAACCGUGCAGCGCCUGCUCAUGGAGGAGGAGGCAUACAUGGGCCCCAACGGCAGCGCCGCGGCGGUGCUCAAGUCCGUGUUGGAGGCGGUCUCGGCUGAAGUCUGCCUCAACGCCCGUGCCAUUUCAGGCUCCCCGUCGUCGACGGUGCACACGUCUUUGCGACGGCGCCGCGGCGUGCACCGCGGCGGUGGGGCCAGUGCUGGUGGGCGCCGCUCGCUCACCGGUGACGGCGAAGAGGACGCGGCUGACGGGCGUGUGCAAAGCGGAUCCUCGACGCUUUCUGGCGCAUGCCGUGUGGUGGGAGCGGCCAGCGGAUCAGUCGCCUCCAUGGGGCGCGCGCAAGGGGCCGCUGCUGUCGGAGCGCCAACUCGCUUGUCGAAGGCGGCAAAGCGGCGCCGCGCUCUCUUGUUCGCGCUCGCUCAAAGUCACCUGCUUCCUCCGGUGCAGCAGCUCGCGACGUCCAAGACGCUUCUCUAUGGCGUGUUCACCGAUGGCGGGGAGUGCCCGUCCUACUACAAGCUUCUCUCCCUAUACCCCGACGUACUCCGCGCGCACCACGCAGCACUGCACUACGUCCUUUACGGGGACGGCCCGCUCUUGGUGGACAUGCGGCUGAUGAUCGCGGUCAUGGCAGCGAGCAGGCACCGCUGCGAGUACCUCGUGUCGCGCUUUUCGGCUCUGCUCUUGCGCUACGCGGAGGAGGCGAUGUUAGAGGAGUAUGUGGAAGAGGACGACUGCGGCGCUGGGAACGGGAGCAGCGCGCUGCGUGGUGGCCAUCAAGGUCGCCUCUACAGGAGCAGCAGCAGCAGCAGCAGUGGUGGCGCGCGCGGCCAUGCGGCGUACAGUCGCAGAGAUGCCGCGGAUGCGUACGACUACGACAGCCCCCACUUUGCGGGCCCGUCGGCGUACCCGCGGCAACAGAAGCAUCGGCACAGUGACGAGUCGGUGGCUGGCUGCUUUCGCGGCCAGUCACGCCAGCGUUGGAUCACGCACGGCCCGCCGGCGCGGCUGCGCGCCGUCCAGCGCUUCAUCGCCCUCGCUGCCCACACGCCGUGGACUCUCAGUGAGGUGGAGAUUCGAAACGUGUUGGCCUGCGGUUGGACCGUUCCGGAAGUGUUUCAGCUUGUCGCCAUCGUGGCGCAGGUAGUGCCGCUCUGCGGCUUCGUCAUGGGCCUCUUCGUGCCAGCAGAGCCGUGGGCUAUGACGCUGCUACCGCUGGAGGUGGUGGAGCGGCUGGGCCAUCGCGCCGUGACGGAGGACGCCCUUGCCGGGCCUCUCGGCGGCAGUGGCGUCUCGUCUGGCGGCAUGGCCGGGUGCUGUCCCGACCCCGCCAUCUCACACUGCAACAGCGGCGGUCGAGGCGGCGGCGACGAACGCGGUAGCCCGACCGGCGGAGCAGCACGACCUCCGCACGCGGAUGUGUACCGUAGGUUUGCUGGCGACGACAACGUGGUCAGCGAGCAGCGCAUCAAGGGCGGCACCACCGCCGCCAACCCGCCCACGCUGUGGCGCAGUCGGUUCACCUGGAACGAGGUGGGGGCGACGUCGAUGGAACAGUAUUAUCCCGGCGCCGCCACGCUUCUCAAUGAAGAAAUCGAGUGCUACCUCGACGUGGUGCGGCAGCUGACCAAGGCGGAUUGUGUGGGGCUGAUGAGCCCCGACUACGACCCCUCCUACGCUUUCCGCUCCCUCCAGCUCUACGUGCAGAACUUGGUCGGCUUCAUGGUGGAGGACUAUUCCUACAACGACAUCAAUAAGGUGCUUCGGCGUCCGGCCAAGUGGUUUGCUCAAGUGCUGACGAUGCGGCCAGAGACGCUCUCUCGCAGCGAGGUGGUUCGCUGGUACGUGCCGACGACCCCGCCGACUGGUAAAACAUCUGAUAUGAGCGCCGAGUCGUCGCUCGUGACGCACCAACUGAAGCGCGAGAUCGAGCUGCUGUCGGUCGUGGACAGCGCACAGGGUGGCCACCGCGGCGGCAUCGAGUCGGCCAGUGCCCACCAGGAUAACGGCGAUAGGCCACCCCCCACCCCCACCGAGGCAGCCCGCGAUGCGGCUGAAGCGGAGGCCCUGCAGACAGCCUUGACCCUUCAGGACGAGCGAGUGCUGCUGCUGAUCGCACUCGCUACGAUGGAGGCCCGCAAAGAAGGCCUUCUUCACAUUCUUCUGCGGCCCUUGUGUGCGGUACUGAACAACAUGUGAGUGGCGGUGGCGGCGGCGUUUUGCGGUGGGUGACCACGACUACGUGUGUGUGUGUGUGUGUGUGUGUGUGUUAGCGAGUGGGCCUCCCCCUCCCCCUCUUUCUCCGGUGGAAGUCCAUCAUUUGAGCCCCUGAUGACAGAGGAGGGACACACACCUCCGCGCGUGGCACCUCAGGGCCCAGCGGCCCCGCACCCUCUGUGUGGGUGGAGGAGGCCAAAGCAGCCCUCCUAUAUCCCUGCCAAAUGCCGAAUCACUUGAGGUGGUGACCGGGUCAGGUGCCUACGACGUAGGGGGGAGGCGAGUGCGAUGCAUCCCUGCUGAUGUGGGCGGCCGUGCCCUGGACGGCGUGGCGUCGGGGCGACCUGCGACUGUGAGCAGGUCUGUGCCCAUCCACGUGAUGGGCAGAGCUUCAACGGCUCUCGACCGAUUCUCUCACGCCUGGCCCUCAAACUGCCUAAUGGUGCCGGUAGAGCCUGAGUGUCACCCCGAGAGCGAUGCAUCAAGGGUGGCAACCAGCAUGGUGGGGGAGCCGCUGUGAGGCGACCUGCGCAAUUCGGGAUGGAGGGUGGAGUUUGAGGCAGGGGUCGUGCUCUCAGAUGGCUGAGCCAGCACAUGGUUGUAACACGUGUGCCUAGGGUUGCCUCGCGCCAUGCGAAGUGGACCCUGUGAGAGGAUCGGUGCGUAGAGUAGAGUUGAACUCAUGCACGCUGGCAGCGAAACGGGCAAGUUGACGGUGACUACAUACAGUUCAUCGCCACCGCCACUUGGGACUGUGCGCGGGAGGUCGUCAGGCCUGUCCCCCCCCCUACACACACACACACACCACCCUCCUUCAUGCCUGCUCUGCAGUGCUUACGUAUAAUUCGCAUGUGUCUUGGGCUCUGCCUUUCCGGUAGACGUGUUCGCGCUGCGCAUAUCGUUUUGUCUUCGCGGUUUCUGUUUGGUAUGUAUGCAUGUGGCUGUGUAUGUGUGUGUGUGUUUGUGGUUGUGCCGGUUUUCUAUUCGCUCCUUACACCUUCCUUUUGUAGGGCCGAAGUGUUUAACAGCAACG